rnacentral:rRNA from 1 species
AUUGAACGCUGGCGGCAGGCCUAACACAUGCAAGUCGAACGAGUGGCGGACGGGUGAGUAAUGUCUGGGAAACUGCCUGAUGGAGGGGGAUAACUACUGGAAACGGUAGCUAAUACCACAUACCAUCAGAUGUGCCCAGAUGGGAUUAGCUAGUAGGUGGGGUAACGGCUCACCCAGGCGACGAUCCCUAGCUGGUCUGUGAGGAUGACCAGCCACACUGGAACUGAGAAAAGGUCCAGACUCCUACGGGAGGCAGCAGUGGGGAAUAUUGCACAAUGGGCGCAAGCCUGAUGCAGCCAUGCCGCGUGUAUGAAGAAGGCCUUCGGGUUGUAAAGUACUUUCAGCGGGGAGGCGUUACCCGCAGAAGAAGCACCGGCUAACUCCGUGCCAGCAGCCGCGGUAAUAC